CUUUUCCAUCCUAGAUUUGUUGCUACUUGUUGACUGACCUGAUGAAUUUUUUAAGCUCCUGGGGAGGCGCAUCAGUUACCACUGAAUCUAUCACAGAUCUUCAUCUUGGUCUGAUGACAACUUAAUUGCAUUUGUCCUCUUAGAGAAAGAAAAUUAACAAAGUGUUUUUUGCAGCUAAGUGUUCUAUGUCUAUUUAGUUUACUUUGUAUGGUUAUUUUACCUCCGUAUACACCAUUCUGGGCAAAGCUAACAAAGGAAACUCAACACUCUGUCUGUGAUUAAUAAAACAUCGUCUCGAGGCCCAAAGGGCCAGCCACACGAAUGCUUUCAGCUGUAUAAGUGGUGAAAGGCGACAUAAUCUCCUCGGGACAAGAUUUGGGCUGAGAUUGAAAGACGCUGUGGGAGAGGUCCAGUAUAAGGGGUGGAAAGAGGACUCCUCAUGCUGCACUCGAAUGGACGGAUAGUCUGGAAGCAUGGAGAGCGGACGGAGCUUGGCGCAGGUCAUCUCUGAAAUGCAGAAUGAGAUCAGAAAGCUGGAGAGCGAAAACAAAGCACUCCGUGGGCAGCUUGACCGGCCGGCUUCAGCCUUGGACUCGGUGAAGCAGAAAGACGGGUCACAGGACAGCUCAACCCACGCCAGCCUGAGACGAAACGUGUCCGCACCACAACUUGAAGCACAGUACAAAGAAAACAUUAUUAUGACCGUGCGAAGAUACUCCAUAUCGUCCAACUCUGAGAAUGAGAUUUUGCACAAGCCGAGACGAUACGAGGAGACUGUGAACAACAACAAAUGGGCAAAACUACAUGAUGGUUCACACAGCCGUCCUUCUAGUGCCUAUUCUAAACCAGACAUGGAGAAAUUAACCAACAGACAUUCCCUUCAGGAGUACGUCAACAAAAACAGGUGAGUUUGGCUUUAGUUGGUAUGAAAUAUUAACCAGCACUUAGUAACUUUAAUGCUAAUUGUUAUCUGACAUUUUAGAGCCAAAGUGAAGACGGUAACUUUCCUGUUGCCAGUGGAUGACAUUUACACCAAUCGACCUGUACUAGCUGAACACCUGUCAGAAAGAAGCACCUGUGAACUCCAAGCGAUAGCGGAAACAGACUCGUGAAGCCCAAACUAAUGGCGGGAAAAACAGAAACACCCACAAAACUGAUGCUUGUGAAGCUGACAAAGAAGAAGUGCAGUAAUGCGGUCAAAAUCUAUCCCAAAUGCAUCGUGCGGUGAAUUAAUACCCACACCUGACCUCAAUGCUUUGACUCCUGUUACAGAUUUGGUUUCUCAAAUUCAUCCAGCUAAAGAAACUCAAGUCAUCCCAUGGUCUCGUCCGAUGUCAGUCCCACUCCGGCGUUUGGAUCGGGUGUCUGCUUGUGUGAAAAAAAGCUCACUAUACUGAGUUUGGUGCAACUGUUAGUUUAUAGCGCUUUUGAACGACGGACAUUAUUUACAUCAGUUUGUUCUCCACAAAAUCUCCCACUAUUUUAUUCAGCAUUAGCUUGCUCAACUUUAGCAUAACAGUUUACUUAAAAACAUGUUUAAAGUGAUAGUUCUCCUAAAAAUUAAAAUGAAAAUUCUCUUAUAAUUUCUCAUUCUCAAUUUGUUCCAAAGCAAAGGAAGAUAUUUUGAAGAAUGUUGGUAACCAGACAGCUGACGGUAACACUGAUUUCCACAGUAUUUUUUUCCCCAAACUAUAGAAUUGGCAGUGGCUACCAUCAACUGUUUGAUUAUCAAUAUCUUUCUAAAAUAUCUUCUGUGUUCACCAUAAGAAAGAAACUCGUUGAGUAAAUGAUGAUAGAAUUUUCCUUUUUGGGUGACAUAUUCCUUUAAAUAAAACUGUUAUUUAAUCAUGUUAAAAUGUAUUAAAGCAGUGACACUUUUGCUACAAGGAAGAGAAAGCCAAAGGAAGGUUUACACAUUAUUAUUAUAUAGUUAAGAUAAUGAAAAAUUUGCACAAGGUUUCAGGGGUGACAGUCCAAAGGCUGCUUUUUUUACACUCCUGAAAUCAAUUAUUGCUCAGGGGUUGACAUUUCUUUUAGGUAUCACUUCCAUGUUUAACCCAAAGGUAAAACAAAGCCACUCAUUUGUGAAAUUAAUAAAGAGAAAAUAGUCAAACCUAAAGGCUAAAAACAGAAAUAUUUAUCUCAUAGACUAUUUGAGGUGUAGAAAACACUUCAAUAAUAAUUUAGUACAUGACCAUUAACUUGUCUCUGACUUACAAUUUCCAUGUUAACAGCAUAGGUCAUUAUAUUAAACUCUUUAGAGUUACAGUGUAACAUAUUGGAUACAUCUGGGUUUAAGAAACAGGUCAGAAUAACAAGCAGAACCUAGUGUGAACAUGUUUGCUGCGUUUAUCAGCUGAAGGUUUCUUAUUCUCUGUCUUGUUGUGUGUGCCGUCCUUUGUGAGCUCAGAAGGCUCAUCCUCACUGUAAAGACUGCCGUAACUCUCCGAAUCUCGUGGCUUACCUGUUAGUGAAUAUAGCAGUCAAUGUGAAUAAGCAAUGUCAGUGCACCCUUUUGUUAUCAAUAAAACAUACUUUUUUUUUAAACAGUUGUAUUACAUUUUUUUUAUUUCUACUGUACUGCAUGGUGAUACCUGUUAAAGUGCUGUGCUGAGGUUCAGUAAAUCGUGUGGGAGGUUUGCUCUCUGUUGGACUAUCUCCAUAUUUCAUUGGUACCAUUGGAAAACUGUCUCCUUUCUGCAGUCUCUGGGUAGCUUUGAGGGAGAGAUAGACAAGGAAGACAGAGGAUGAUUA
ensembl:lncRNA